rnacentral:misc_RNA from 1 species
GAUGAAGAACGCAGCGAAAUGCGAUAAGUAGUGUGAAUUGCAGAAUUCCAGUGAGUCAUCGAAUCUUUGAACGCACAUUGCGCCCUUUGGUAUUCCGAAGGGCAUGCCUGUUCGAGCGUCAUUAUCACCCCUCAAGCCCUCGGCUUGGUGUUGGACGGUUUGGUGGAGGCCCCCUCGGGGGCUCCUGCCCCUCCCAAAGACAAUGACGGCGGCCUCGUUGGACCCCCGGUACACUGAGUUCUUCACGGGACACGUAUCGGACACAUGGGUUUACGGGACACGGUCUGCCUCCCCUCAGGGAGAAUCUUUCUAAGGUUGACCUCGGAUCAGGUAGGGAUACCCGCUGAACUUAAGCAUAUCAAUAAGCGGAGGA